rnacentral:rRNA from 1 species
AUUGAACGCUAGCGGGAUGCUUUACACAUGCAAGUCGAACGGCAGCGCGGACUUCGGUCUGGCGGCGAGUGGCGAACGGGUGAGUAAUGUAUCGGAACGUGCCCAGUAGCGGGGGAUAACUACGCGAAAGCGUAGCUAAUACCGCAUACGCCCUACGGGGGAAAGCCGGGGAUCGUAAGACCUUGCACUAUUGGAGCGGCCGACAUCGGAUUAGCUAGUUGGUGAGGUAACGGCUCACCAAGGAGACGAUCCGUAGCUGGUUUUAGAGAACGACCGGCCACACUGAGAGUGAGACACGGCACAAACUCCUACGGGAGGCAGAAGGGGGGAAUUUUGGACAAGGGGGGCAACCCUGAUCCAGCCAGCCCGCGUGUGCGAGGAAGGCCUGCGGGUUGUAAAGCACUUUUGGCAGGAAAGAAACGUCGCGGGCUAAUACCCCGUGGAACUGACGGAACCUGCAGAAUAAGCACCGGCGAACUACGU